GCGUCAAGUGCAGGGCGAAUUUUUUGAUUUUCGCCCUGAUUUCCUGGCAUUUUUUCCGUUAAGUUUGAAUCACUGUUUGAUAUACCAUGCAUAUGGUCACAUGUGUUGCUCGUUUGUGUAGGGAAAGUUCAAAAUCUGUUCUAGUUUUUAGGAGUAAUUUUUUCGAUCGCGUUCUUUCAUUUGUGAGAUUCUAUUUUUUGCAAUUUAGCGAUUUGUGUUGUUAUCUGUGUAUUUGUGCCGUCAGUAUCCGGUUGUCCAUAGGCGAUUACUGAUAGUCUAAUAAUAACUUCAGUGCUUCGUGUUCUUAAACUGAUUAAGUGAUAAACUACCUAACCAUGCAGUGGCUGAGACAAACGUAUUUUAAACGCGUCUUAUAAGUAUGUAGAAAUGAUUUUUGAAAAUGUGAAUGGUGUGUUUUUCAAUCGGUUUGUGUAGCAGUGUUUUUUAUUACAUAAGCAGUGUAAAGUAACUUUUCCAUAGAAAAAGUUUUUAAAUAUAGUGUGACCUGAUUUUUAAAAAGUUUCGCUCUUUUGUCAAUUGGGUAUGUUUUCCCCCAAUUUUUUUCCAAAGCUCGGUUGCCCCUUCAAAUUCAAAGAUAGGCAACUUAUCCAUAUUAUAACGUUUUUUUAAGUCGUACUUGGUCGUACCUAGUUAUAUCCAAAUCUGAAGUUUUGACAUCGCCAGACACCCUGUAUAAUACUGUUGAGCAAGAAGAGAGACGACAUCAAAAGAAGAGGAAUAAUUUUCAACACAAUAGGCAGGGACGGAAGAGCCGGGAGAGAGCAGGAGCCAGAGUCCGAAAGAGCCAGAUUUUCUGAGGAGCUAGAGCCAGAGCCAAGAGCCAAAUAAAUGAAAGUGCAGAAAAACAUCAAGAGCUCUCUUGCAAAAGAGCUCCUUAUUUUACUCAAGACUUUAACCUGGAAAGAGCCAGAGCCGAGUGGGAGCCCACAACAUUUUUCAGGCUCUUUGGCUCCCUAAAAGUAGAAGAAAAAAAGUAAAAAAAUGGCAAAAAUGCGCACAAUUUUAUAUCAAUAAUUCAACUUUCAACUCACAUUUGUAAAGAAAAUGAAGAAUUUCUACAUUUUGUUUUCUCAUUGAGAAAU